GACGAACGCUGGCGGCGUGCCUAAUACAUGCAAGUUGAGCGAUGAAGAUUGGUGCUUGCACCAAUUUGAAGAGCAGCGAACGGGUGAGUAACGCGUGGGGAAUCUGCCUUUGAGCGGGGGACAACAUUUGGAAACGAAUGCUAAUACCGCAUAACAACUUUAAACAUAAGUUUUAAGUUUGAAAGAUGCACUUGCAUCACUCAAAGAUGAUCCCGCGUUGUAUUAGCUAGUUGGUGAGGUAAAGGCUCACCAAGGCGAUGAUACAUAGCCGACCUGAGAGGGUGAUCGGCCACAUGGGGACUGGGACACGGCCCAAACUCCUACGGGAGGCAGCGGUAGGGAAUCUUCGGCAAUGGACGAAAGUCUGACCGAGCAACGCCGCGUGAGUGAAGAAGGUUUUCGGAUCGUAAAACUCUGUUGGUAGAGAAGAACGUUGGUGAGAGUGGAAAGCUCAUCAAGUGACGGUAACUACCCAGAAAGGGACGGCUAACUACGUG
rnacentral:rRNA from 1 species